UUUAUUAUGGCAUCUACAUUUUAACAUAUAGUAUUGUAUUAUCAUAAAAUUUUGAUUUGAGAAGCUUUUCAUAACAUGCAGUUUUGCAGAAUGUUGAUUUCGGAUGCUACCAAGCUUUGAAAACAAUUACACAAAGUACAAGUUUAUAUCUUUCCAUUCUACUAAUCUUAGAACACAUCCAAAAGCAUUUUAGAUGACAGUUAUGUAUGCAAACGUUGAUUAACUGCUACAGUCUGCUGUGUAUUUUACUGUCAUCAUUGCCUUACUCACAUUUACAGUGUUAAAGUGCCUGAAAUGCUAAACUGAGAUUUUGGGGAAUGGAUGAGGAAACUCCUUGAUCUUCAUGCAACUGCUCUGUGAUGCUGCCAUUAAACAACACAAAGUGAUGCUAUGCAGCCAGCUGGGCAAUCCAUUGCAGGAACAAGGCUCCCUCCUCUUGAAUCACCUUCAACUGAAAACAUGGUAAGAGGAACUUCAGCACCUGGGUGAGCAAUAAUCACUGUAGGAUCACCCAGGGAGUGUGAUGGAGACACACCAGCAUGCACAAGUUGCCUGUGAUGAGCAGCAAUACAGAAGAGGCUCUUUACACAUCCAACAAGCUCCCUGAUGCUUGGGGUGGUGGUCGAUGCUUGCCCCAGAGCAAGGCAGAGCAGCCUGGGACUACCCUAGCUUGUAGCAGGCUGACUUGGGAAAGGCAGAUGUUUAACACUCAGAUACUGCUCUCAUGGAUGGGGUUCAUCUGGUCCCUGCUGAAAACAAGAGGAUUCUGCUUAAUUUGUGAAAAUGUGAGAUUAAAAUCACAGGAGGAGGUGUGGAAGGAGUAUUGCUCAAACUUCAGAAGAGUCUGCUUUAUAUACUUCCAGCAGAAAUGCCACAUUUCUGGUUUCUUUCACCAGCUGAAGGUGAACAGAUUUGAAGAAGUCUUUCAAACACGUUGGGGAUCAAACUGAGUUUUCACUGCGAGAUGGGGAAAAAAAUCACACUUGCUUUGGUGUCCAGAAGAAAGGCAGGUGUCAAGAGGUGCAAUGCUUCAUUUUAAAGUCACACUAGUCACAUGCAGCCUUUUCCCCACUGCACAGAAGUAGGCGAUACACCAGGGCAAGCUUGACAAUUCACCUCCAUGAGUGGAUUUUGUUUGUUCACUCCUACAAGCAAGUUCCAUGUCCCCAGAGAGUCCGCCCUGCUGCAGCUGAAACCC
rnacentral:lncRNA from 1 species